rnacentral:rRNA from 1 species
UGAGGAAUAUUGGUCAAUGGACGCAAGUCUGAACCAGCCAUGCCGCGUGAAGGAUGAAGGCCUUCUGGGUUGUAAACUUCUUUUACUAGGGAAGAAACCUCCGAUUUCUAUUGGAGCCGACGGUACCUAGGGAAUAAGCACCGGCUAACUCCGUGCCAGCAGCCGCGGUAAUACGGAGGGUGCAAGCGUUAUCCGGAUUCACUGGGUUUAAAGGGUGUGUAGGCGGGCGUUUAAGUCAGUGGUGAAAUCUCCAGGCUCAACCUGGAAACUGCCAUUGAUACUAUUCGUCUUGAAUAUCGUUGAGGUAGGCGGAAUAUAUCAUGUAGCGGUGAAAUGCUUAGAUAUGAUAUAGAACACCGAUUGCGAAGGCAGCUUACUAAACGAUCAUUGACGCUGAGGCACGAAAGCGUGGGGAUCAAACA